rnacentral:rRNA from 1 species
UACAGAGGUCUCAAGCGUUUGUUCGGAUUCAUUGGGCGUAAAGGGUGUGUAGGUGGCGCCGUAAGUCGGGUGUGAAAUUCGUAGCGUAACUCCGAAACUGCAUUCGAUACUGCCGUGCUUGAGGACUGGAGAGGAGACUGGAAUUUACGGUGUAGCAGUGAAAUGCGUAGAGAUCGUAAGGAGACCAGUGGCGAAGGCGGGUCUCUGGACAGUUCCUGACGCUGAGGCACGAAGGUCAGGGGAGCAAACGGG